rnacentral:rRNA from 1 species
AGGAGCAACCAUAUCAGCACUAUUGCACAGGAUUCCAUCCGAACUCCGAAGUUAAGCGUGCUUGAGCAAGAAUAGUUCUAAGAUGGACCUGUCUUAUGACUU